rnacentral:rRNA from 1 species
UACGUAGGGUGCGAGCGUUAAUCGGAAUUACUGGGCGUAAAGCGUGCGCAGGCGGUUCUGAAAGUCAGCUGUGAAAGCCCCGGGCUUAACCUGGGAAUGGCGGUUGAAACUACAGGACUAGAAUCUGGCAGAGGGGGGUGGAAUUCCCCGUGUAGCAGUGAAAUGCGUAGAGAUGUGGAGGAACACCGAUGGCGAAGGCAGCCCCCUGGGCUGAGAUUGACGCUCAGGCACGAAAGCGUGGGGAGCAAACAGG